UACGAAGGGGGCUAGCGUUGCUCGGAAUCACUGGGCGUAAAGCGCACGUAGGCGGCUUUCUAAGUCAGAGGUGAAAUCCUGGAGCUCAACUCCAGAACUGCCUUUGAUACUGGAGAGCUUGAGUUCGGGAGAGGUGAGUGGAACUGCGAGUGUAGAGGUGAAAUUCGUAGAUAUUCGGAGGAACACCAGAAGCGAAGGCGGCUCACUGGCCCGAUACUGACGCUGAGGCGCGAAAGCGUGGGGAGCAAACAGG
rnacentral:rRNA from 1 species